GAGGAGUAGCGAAGUGGUUGAACGCGCCGGCCUGUCACGCCGGAGAUCGCGGGUUCAAAUCCCGUCUCCUCC
rnacentral:tRNA from 1 species